UACGGAGGGGGCAAGCGUUGUUCGGAAUUACUGGGCGUAAAGGGCGCGUAGGCGGCCACCGCAAGUCGAUUGUGAAAUCUCCGGGCUUAACUCGGAAAGGUCAACUGAUACUGUGCGACUAGAGUGCGGAAGGGGCAACUGGAAUUCUCGGUGUAGCGGUGAAAUGCGUAGAUAUCGAGAGGAACACCGGUGGCGAAGGCGGCCUGCUGGGGUGGAGCUGACGCUGAGGCGCGGACAGCGUGGGGAGCAAACAGG
rnacentral:rRNA from 1 species